rnacentral:piRNA from 1 species
UCUGCUGGCAUGCAGGCAGAAGACUGU